UUCUCUCUCCUUCAAUCUCCUUCUCCAUAACCGCCAUUUUCCCUUUCCUUUCUUCUCUUUUUCGAUCUCCUUCUCCAUAAUCAAGCACAACCACCAUCGCCGCUGCCGUCAAUGUGAACCAAAUACAACAACAACAACAACAAACUUGAAUCAAUUAUCGAUUCAAAAAUCACAAAUUCGAGGAGCAUGUUUGGAGCUAAUGAUACUAAUCCUAUGCUUCCUGUUAAUAUGGAGAGUGUCAGGAUGCCAUACAAUGCCAAUGUAGUGCCGUCAAUGCAAUUGGAUGCUCUCUUUGGCUGUAAUGAUAUAAUGAACAUGGCUGGGGACAAGAACUUAUCCUUUGUGAAUCCAUUUAAUUAGGAAGAGGUACACAUGUAUUCAGCCAGAAGCAUAAGCUUCCUGUGACAUCGUAUGACAAUUUUUGCCAGAAUGAAGUAGGGCAAGCCAGGAAUAUGUUGAAGCAAAUCCCUGUCUCCACUGGGCUCAAGCUUUCAUAUGGAGAAGAGGAGCACUAUUCUUCCAUCACAUCUGCUGGUGAAGGCGUAGUUGUUAAUCUACCUCUGUUGUUCCUGCUACUUUAGUGUUGCUACUGCCUCCUAUCUUUGAUUGUGUAGUUUUUUUUUUUUUUUUUUU